rnacentral:rRNA from 1 species
UAAACGAUGGAUACUAGGUGUUGUCUGUAUCGACCCGGACAGUGCCGUAGCUAACGCGUUAAGUAUCCCGCCUGGGGAGUACGCACGCAAGUGUGAAACUCAAAGGAAUUGACGGGGGCCCGCACAAGCAGCGGAGCAUGUGGUUUAAUUCGAAGCAACGCGAAGAACCUUACCAGGGCUUGACAUUUAGGUGAAGCGGCGGAAACGUCGUGGCCGAAAGGAGCCUAAACAGGUGGUGCAUGGCUGUCGUCAGCUCGUGUCGUGAGAUGUUAGGUUAAGUCCUGCAACGAGCGCAACCCUCGUCGUAUGUUGCCAGCGGUUAGGCCGGGCACCCAUACGAGACCGCCGGCGUCAAGCCGGAGGAAGGUGGGGACGACGUCAAGUCAUCAUGCCCCUUAUGUCCUGGGCUACACACGUGCUACAAUGGCCGGCACAAUGGGCUGCCAACCCGCGAGGGUGAGCGAAUCCCUAAAGCCGGUCCCAGUUCGGAUUGGAGGCUGCAACCCGCUCCAUGAAGUCGGAGUUGCUAGUAAUCGCGGAUCG